GUAGGUGGCAAGCGUUGUCCGGAAUUAUUGGGCGUAAAGCGCGCGCAGGCGGUCCUUUAAGUCUGAUGUGAAAGCCCACGGCUCAACCGUGGAGGGUCAUUGGAUACUGGGGGACUUGAGUACAGAAGAGGAAAGCGGAAUUCCAAGUGUAGCGGUGAAAUGCGUAGAGAUUUGGAGGAACACCAGUGGCGAAGGCGGCUUUCUGGUCUGUAACUGACGCUGAGGCGCGAAAGCGUGGGGAGCAAACAGGGAUUAGAUACCCUGGUAGUCCACGCCGUAAACGAUGAGUGCUAAGUGUUAGGGGGUUUCCCGCCCCUUAGUGCUGCAGCUAACGCAUUAAGCACUCCGCCUGGGGAGUACGGCCGCAAGGCUG
rnacentral:rRNA from 1 species